UGACUAUGAAAUCACUUGUUCGAUUGUUACUUAUAAUAAUAAUAAACACCAAAAAUAAACAAACCGAAAAUUAUCUUUAACUCACAAGCAAACUAAUAAUAUUUGAAUUAUCUUUUUAGCAAAAGUUACAUAAAAACUAUCACUGAGGAAUGUGUUGUUUAAAUGUGUGUUGUUAAAUAAAUGUUUGAUACUUUUUAUUUAGACCAAUAUAAUAACCCUAAUUUGUGAAUACACUGUAAAAUUAUAAAGAUACAAGCAAUUACUUUUAAAUAUAUUAAUUUUCACGCGCCAGUGAUUAGUAGUUUUAAAAUACUUGAUAUGAUUAAAAAAAAAAAAUUAAAGAAAUAUAAAAAUAUUUUAAGUUAAGUUAAGUAUAUGCAUUAUGCAAAAUUCACACACAAGAUAUAAGUACAUU